rnacentral:rRNA from 1 species
GACGAACGCUGGCGGCGUGCCUAAUACAUGCAAGUUGAGCGCUGAAGGUUGGUCCUUGUACCAACUGGAUGAGCAGCGAACGGGUGAGUAACGCGUGGGGAAUCUGCCUUUGAGCGGGGGACAACAUUUGGAAACGAAUGCUAAUACCGCAUAAAAACUUUAAACACAAGUUUUAAGUUUGAAAGAUGCAAUUGCAUCACUCAAAGAUGAUCCCGCGUUGUAUUAGCUAGUUGGUGAGGUAAAGGCUCACCAAGGCGAUGAUACAUAGCCGACCUGAGAGGGUGAUCGGCCACAUUGGGACUGGGACACGGCCCAAACUCCUACGGGAGGCAGCAGUAGGGAAUCUUCGGCAAUGGACGAAAGUCUGACCGAGCAACGCCGCGGGAGUGAAGAAGGUUUUCGGAUCGUAAAACUCUGUUGGUAGAGAAGAACGUUGGUGAGAGUGGAAAGCUCAUCAAGUGACGGUAACUACCCAGAAAGGGACGGCUAACUACGUG